AUUGAACGCUGGCGGCAGGCCUAACACAUGCAAGUCGAGCGGAGCGGCGGACGGGUGAGUAAUGCCUAGGAAUCUGCCUGGUAGUGGGGUAUAACGUCCGGAAACGGGCGCUAAUACCGCAUACUAUCAGAUGAGCCUAGGUCGGAUUAGCUAGUUGGUGGGGUAAAGGCCUACCAAGGCGACGAUCCGUAACUGGUCUGAGAGGAUGAUCAGGCACACUGGAAGUGAGAAACUGUCCGAACGGCUAGGGGAGGCUGCAGGGGGGAAUAUGGGACAAUGGGCGAAAGCCUGAUGCAGCCAUGGCGCGGCUGUGAAGAAGGUCUUCGGAUUGUAGAGCACUUUAAGUUGGGAGGCGUUACCAACAGAAUAAACACCGGAUAACUUCGUGCCAGCAGCCGCGGUAAUUC
rnacentral:rRNA from 1 species